CAAGCAAGCCCAAUUCAAAAGCGAAGAACGAGGCUCCUAAUCUGAAUGAUGAUUCUUGUUUUUGGGCGCACGUCGAGGAAGCGCUUAUCUGGUGCAACGAACAAGCGAGUAAUCCAGAUGCUAAGCCAAUGACCGAAUAUGAGCUUUACGUUCUGAAUAUGCUCGAGAAUUUCGCAGUUACGGUUGAUAUUUUCUUGAAAAAUAGCAGCUUCAUGCAUUGGUGGAACAAGUAUAAAGUAAUUGUGGGAAGCAACUACUCCUCAGCAUUUACCGAGGUCAUGAAGCGUAAGACUUAUCGCAAAUAUGCGGAUGGGGUCUCAGUUCGUACUGAUCAAUAAUCCAAUAUAAUUAAGUUUUAAGCAAGCAAUUAAAUCAGAUAAAGCAAGAUUAAUUUUGCUGUAUCGCUUAUGAUCUUCAUAGAGAGACGUGCAUUACUUGCAGGGCUUGUUGGUGCUACUAGUACUACUUUUGGAUAUUUUAAUUUGUUUGUGGUUUCUUUUUGUGUGGGGGUAAUGUUUCAAGGGGUAAAUCUCAGUUUAGUAUUCUUAAAUUUUGUGUUUUUCAACAUGUAGUACAUUAAGUUAUUUUUGUCUCCGAGUUAUACUUAAAUUGUUAAUUUUGGGACAGUCUCAUACAUCCGUUAGUCUGACUGUUAAGUCUCCCAUUAAUUGAUGAUGCGACGCCUAUGUGAACAAUAACUGGACGUCAUGUGUCAUUAAAAGGUUCACGUGGAAAUUCAAAAAAAAAAAAAAAAAAAAACCGAAAUUUCAAAAUUCAAAAUUUUAAAAUUUCAAAAAUUAAUAAAUUAAAAAAAGGUGGGGAUAAUUUCUUCCUCUAUCCCCGUCCCUUUUUCUCUCUUAUGCAAUUAUUGAGCUCUCCUUUGAAUCUCAGAUCCCCAGCAACCCUUGCCCUUGCGACCUUGUAACCCUUAGCAGAGGUUUGCAAACCUCGUAACCAUCGCCUUUUGUUACGAUCCAAUUCUCUAAACCCUUAAUCAACUGGCAAGUAACACAGAGGGUCGAGAGGAGGAGGGAAGGAGGAAGGUAGAAGGAGCGGAGCUCCAAUAUUUUUGUUUAUAUUUCUUUUUGUGUAAAUUCUCAUCUGAUUACAAUAGUGAGAGCUAGUGCUCUUGAGUCUUAUACAAGUCACAACUCAUCAUGCCAGCUAGCUAAUUAUAACAAACUUCACUAAAACAGGAAUAAGCCUAAUAAUCCCAAGAUUAAAACCCUUAAUAGUGAUUAAGCUAAUCACUAAUUACAGAUCAUAUCAUUACUCCCCCCUUGAAAAACAACCUUGUCCUCAAGGUUAGGAUUAGCACUUGAAAUCUGGAACUUUUUCGCAGUGAAUUCAUCAUAAGCCUCUUUGCUUUUAUUGUCUGACCAAGGCACUGCACCAAAACUUGGACUGCAAAAACCUUGGUUGAUAUCUGCAACCUAUCCCAGAUGCUGAAAAAAAAAAAAAAGAGAACAAGCUUUGGAGAUGACUCCCCGCGAAGCCUUGAUGUCUCAGCUGGAAAGAAUUUCUCCCCGUCAUGUGAUGUAUGCAGAUUAUCCCUUACAAUCAAUUCUGGACCUUCCAAGCUGAGUCUCCCUGAAACAGAUGGGAAAUUUAUUAGAAAAAUAGAUCAGCCCACAUGUGUGUAAUCUAUAUACAAAAAAUCACUCUCUUCAUUAGCCAAAUCGUUUCACAAAUCCCAAAACACAGAACUAUAUCUUGAACAGUGCUAAUUAAUGAUUUCCCAUUUACUUAAGCCCAACAUCAGCGCCAAUGAACUGAUGAAAGAGCGAAAAAGAGAAACAAAAAACCUCAAUGAAGCAAUUAAAUGGAGAAUUACUUGAUAGUGCUGGAAAAUUACUACAAAACGUUUGAAAAUUACCCAUUAAGAUUAUAAAAAAUUAAAAAAAAUUAAAAAAAAAAGAUGAUGUGGAGUGGAGUGGGAAUCACAUACCGCCAUCACCUUUAAAUAUGUAGUGCUCCCCUGAAAGAGCAUCAAGAGUGACUGUGCAGAGAAACGAAUGAUUGAAAAAUUCAAGCUCUGAGCUCAAAGUUGGGGCUUCCACUUUCCAACUGGGGAAGAAAUAAUAAAGAAAACACAGAAUCCAUCAAAAAUAUUAAUCAAAUGGGUUUCUUCUAAUUCAAAAUUUGGACCACCCAAAUUCUGAUGAAGAAAUAACCAUUCAAAAUUCCAACAGAUUGAAGCUCUCACAGACUACAAAUUAUCAAUACCCAGCAAUAAAAAAUUUGAAAACAGUAAUAAUGAAGGAAAAAGAAAUUAAAGCUGCGAGCCAUUCUCUAAAUCUCAGGCACCAAUCCAAAUCACCAGUAAUUUGCACAUAAUGAUAAGAAUCUAGCAGUAUUUCCAUUGUUUAAAACCCAAAUUCUAGAAAUCAUGAAAAAUGGAAACUUUAUAUGGAAAUUGAAGCUUUACCUGCAGAUUAGCAGCAGCAAACGAAUCCAACGGCAUAUACCUCAAAAGUGAGUGACAGAGAAAGAGAGAGCUAAGAGAUGAGUGAGAGAAUCGAUAAACAAAAACCCCCAUAACCACAAAAGGAAAUUUGAACAAAAACAAAUAUGCAAAUCCAAAAUCACAAAAACGAAAUGAAACACCCACACCGAGAAAGUUGUAAAACUCACCAGAAGCACAGUGCUUCCCAAAAUUCUAGUUGUUUCACUCCUCUCUUCCCCAAAUUUACAGGUAUGUUUUUCUUUUCUGUAAUCUGAUUAUAAAUUAUUAAAGAUGAUUACACGAACCACCGAAAUCACCACCAAAUUUCAACAAAGAAGUAACUAAGCACAACAAAAAGAAGAAGAAAAAAAAGGUUAAACUCUGUUUACUACCCUCAUGUUUCGUGGUUUUCAACAUUUAGUACAUCAAGUUUUUUUCGUCCCAGAGUCAUACCUAAAGUGUUAAUUUUGGAACAAUCUCAUACAUCUGUUAGUCAAACUGUUUAUUCUCCCGUUAAGUGAUGACGUGGCACCUAUAUGGACAAUGACUGGACUCCAGGUGUCAUUAAAUAUAUUAAAAUAAUUAAUUAAAUAAAAGUUUUAAAAAAAAAACCCAUCCCUCCUUCCCCCCUCCCCCAACCCAACCCAACCCAGAAGAAGAAAAAGGUGGAGGAAGAAAAGGGAGAAAAAGAAACCAAAUCUGGGAAGAAGAAGAAGGAAAAAAAAACCGAAUUUGGGAAGAAGAAGAAGAAGAAGAAGAAUGAGGAGGAAGAAGAUGAAGAAGACGAAGAAGAAGGAGGGAGAAGAAGAGAAAGAAGAGGAAGAAGAAGAAGAAGAAGAAGGAAGAAGAAGAAAAAAAAAACCGAAUCUGGGAAGAAAAAGAAGAAGAAGAAGAAAAAAAAAACCGAAUCUGGGAAGAAGAAGAAAGAAGAAGAAGAAGGAAGAAGAAGAGGAAGAAGAAGAAGGAGAAGGAGGAAGAAUGAUGAAGUAGAAGAAGAAGAAAAAAAAAACUGAAUAUGGGAAGAAGAAGAAGAAGAAGAAGAAGAAAAAGAAAAAAAACAGCAGCCCAAACCCAGUUCGUCCCCCUCCCCCCUGCAACCCACCUGCCUUCUCCCUCGUCCCGCGAACACGACCCACCUGUCUUCCUUCUUCUUCUUCUGGGUUACAAAUUCGAUUUUUUUUCUUCUUCUUCUUCUUCUUCUUCUUCUUCUUCUUCUAGGGGGGGCGGGGGAGAAGGAUGGGGUUUUUUUUUAAUUUAUAUUUAAUUAAUUAUUUUAAUUUUUUUUUAAUGAGACGUGGCACCCAGUCAUUGUCCACAUAGGCACCACGUUAUCACUUAAUGGGAUAAUUAACAGUUUGACUAACGGAUGUAUGAGACUGUCCCAAAAUUAACAUUUUAGGUAUGACUCUAGGAUGAAAAAAACUUGAUGUACUAAAUGUUGAAAACCACGAAACAUUAGGGUAGUAAACAGAGUUUAAUAAAAAAAAAUCAAAUAUUUGGCUUUUGGGUAUUUGAGAAAAAGUGAGAUUUAAUUACCUGUCACAGGCUACAGUAAUUGGGAGCACGAUGGGGCGGCGAGGAGAUUGAACAGAUAAGGAAGCAAAGAUCGAACAUAUAUCACGAAGCGGAAUCAAAAUCGUCAAUCGUGUUGCAGAGCACAGUUUUUUCCUUUUUGGAUUUCUGCGGUUUCUGAGGAAGAAGUCGAGAGACUUAUUGGACACCUAAGGUUAUAACCGACCUUUUAAUGUGUAAUGUACACAAAAAAGCAAGACUUGAAGAGCAACUGAAGGGCAAAAUGGGAAGAACAUUGUCGAAGGAACAGUGUUUCAGUUCUUUUUCUCUUUUAGUUAAUAUAAUAUAAUUGCUAUGCUAAAACCCAUAGUUCAGAGAAGAAUCUUGCAUGAUCACUAACAACGUAAGGGAAAAUCAAACUUUGUGUUGCUUGUUUUAUGAAUCUCUUUAUUUUUUAUUUCAAAUUUAUGAGUGUCUCACUUUUCCACAGUUUCUAAUCUGUUAUUGUUUUGGGAAAGUGGUUAAAAUGGUAUGAAAUCAUAUCUCAAUUCUCAAUUUCUGAACUUAUCAAAAUCAAAUAUCGACAACAUACUGAAAAAUUGAUAAUUUCAGUGAUUGGGUAAAAAAUGAUCAUUUUAGCCAAAUUCCCUCUUAUUUUCUGUUGUCGUAAUUUAGAUUGCAACUUUUGUAAGUUUUUCUGAUUUUGGUGUUGGUUUUUGUAGUUAAGUAUCAAGGAAUGUGUCAAGCCCCUAUUUGGACAUUCGUUUAGAAUCGACACGUGACGUCACCAAAUACCUGUACAUCUACCAUACCCUACUUCCAGGAUACGGGCCAAACACAACUCACGAUCCAAAAGCAUAGUAAUUUUUUUCGUAUACUUUAUGGCUGCAUCUAACCUCCUCAUUAGAUUGCCUACGUAUCAUAAACAGGGAUCAAGCCAUUCAUAGUUCGUCCUUCACUACCCUUGAACAAUCAUCACAUAAAUAAAUAUGUCUCAAUAUAAUACCUUCAUCCAUACCAUGUAACAUAUCAAAUAACAAACGAAGCACAGUAAUAUUCUCUAGUCAUGUUGCCAUUCACCCACACAUAUGUUUUCCAACACCAUCCAACAAUCACACCAAUCAAUAACACAUACAAUACAUCGACAUGCAGGGCUAAAGUGACAAAGUUCGGUCGAAACCUACAUCUCUAAAGCUGAAAUCGAAUCCAAGGAACCCAAACCACCCCUAGCUCGUCCCAUAUUCCUUCACGAGCCCAGAGCUUAAACUCGAGCAACUCUCGGACCUCACAUCAGAGAAAACAGGAAAUGGAGAACUACGACAAGUUCUCAAAUUCUUUCGACCGAGGUAAAACUCGAAAUACCUUCAAUCUCUACCCUUUUGAUGUUCUGAUUCAAUUUUUGAGUUGUAUACGUGUUGUGACGACGUUUAGGUGCAAAAAUCACUCGAGGAUGAACUCCCUAGUUUUCUGGCGAAGUCCGCAAGUUUCAGACCAUUUUUCUGGCCAAAACCUUUGGGCCAUUGUUCUAGCCCAACCCAACAACUCAGUCAACCUAAUCUAACCUAGCAAACCUGGCCUAACCUAGUGACCCGGAUCUGUGAAACCUGCCCAAGCCUAGAUUCGUGGGCCAGAUCCACCCUGGGAUCCGGCCCGACCCAAUUCCCAAAUGGAUUUGAAAUAUUCCAGAAUAUUCCAAGAAUAUUCUUUGGAAUAUUCCUUGUGUUGACUUUUAUGAUAUUUUCUCACGAACCUUCUUAGACUAAUUUCGACGCCUUGAGUCCGUUUUUGACAUCUAUUUAGUGAAAUUAUAAAGAUUUAAUAUGGUUGACCGGCUCGGUGUCUCGAUUCACUUUUUGGGUCAACUGUUGACUUUUCGUUGACUUUUUACAAAAUUUACCCGGGACUUCUCGUAGGGUAAUUCGACGCGCUGAUUCUGAAUCUGCUGUCUGUUUCUCCAAAUUCAAAUGUUUUAAUUAAGUUUUUACUAAUGGGCCUCUAUUAUGCUUAGGUACUCUUUAGCAUUGGCGAAUUCUUAUUUACAUGUCUGAAUGUCAGUAACCUUGCAAGUACCUGUGAGUGGACCCCUUCUCAAAUUGCAUGUUUUCAUAACUAUUAGGCUUGCAUUCAUGAAAAUAAUAUUUUUUAUAAUUCUACAUUUUAUGAAUUAUUUAUGCUUCAUAUUUGAUUUAUAUUGCUUUCACGAAGUCUUUAUGAAUUAUCUUAAUAGAUUUUGAAGAAUUAUUUAUAAUCCAUUGGUUUAAUGUUUAUGAGAACUCGUAUUUAUGGAAAUCACGUUUAUGGAUUUAUAAGAUUUGAGAUAUGUUUUAUAUACUUAUCUAGUGGGUUAUCAUACAACACAUACACACAACCUGACUAUGUAGACGUCUAUGGCCAUAGGACACAGUUGAGGAUAUUUAUGACAUACUCCCAGCUUUACUGGCGAAACCAGUGUCGGACAACUUUAAUAGCCACGGCUAGUGUCGGUAUGUUAUGUUUAUAGUUAUAUUUUCUUCUCUCGCGUAACCCAGAGUCGUAUAGCUUCACCUUCGGGUGAUGGGACCUACCAUGUUUCUUCACCGGCAUAACCUAGAGUCGUACAACUUCACCUCCAGGUGAUGAUUAUGCCUUCGGGCGACUAUGAUACCCCUAGUUGAGUAUAUCACAGAGUUUAUUUACGAGAUUCUCAUAUCUGCCUUCGGGUGUUACUAUCGAUUUCCAAAGAGGAUUUUAUCGUUACAAAAUUUUUAGCAUGCUAGAGUUUCCAAAAAAACUAUUAUGUAGUAUUAUAUGGGUUUUCAAAACAGAGAGUUAAUAUGUUCAGAAAAAGAAAACGUUUUUUGUAUUAUUACUACUAUUAUUAUAAAUUAUCGUCCACUUACCCUUUCAUUCUUGCGCCCCCUUCAGGAUUUAGAAUCGAGACGUACGAUCCCGGCGUCAGGGCACUUCCGUAUAGGUAUCUUUGAGUCUUCUCAGUGUAUGGCCCAUUUCCCUUGUUCGUGCCUUUUUAUAAUUAUUCUUUCACAUUAUUCUUGCUUAGUUGUAGGCUCUGAACACGUUUCCUUAAUUGCGUAUUUCUUUAUAGUUACAUAUUUUAGUCACUUUUGUUUACUGAUACCACUUGCAUGCAUGUUAAAAUGGCUUCGUCACCUUUAGGUGUCAGCCAGCAUGUGCCUACCCUAGUAUUCGAGGAUAUCGGGGUUGGGGCAUGUCAGCCUGGGUGGUCGUAGGUGCACAGGGGCGCGCGUGGGCCAUCAGACCUUGGGCCUGCGCUGCGUGCUGGGCUAGUGCUUGCUCUUCAUGGGUCUGGGCCUAGCUAGUAGUGAGUUGGGCUCGACUGGUAACGAGCUGGUCCUUAGUCGUCUGCCCAUGGGUUCUUUUUGCUGGUUGGCCAGCUCUGCUGGUCUUCCGUGCACCUGGACCUGCUGCAGUGGCUUAGGCCUCAUUCCCUGGGCCUAAUAUGGCAGCUGUCACGUUUUCGACCUCUUACAUGUGGUUCGUGAGCCCCUGUUUCAACGUAGUUGGCCAUUUGUAGCACGCGCUUGGGCCUCGGCUUAGGCUGCUACUAUGAAAUCACAUUCUUGGAUUUCACUAUUAUAAUUUCCAUGUUUUGUAUUCGCGAAAUUUUAUAUUAUUUUUUGCAAAUUUAAUUUAAUUUAGUUAAUUUAGAAUUUUAAUUCCUUAGUUACAAAGUUUGAAAUUUUGAAAAGAAUCAUUUAAAAUUUGUAGACCUUUCAAGUUCAAAAUUAAUGUUUUCAAAAAAGAUCAAUCAUACGAACGUGUAGGCAAAAGCCGUUCACGAACGGAGCUAUAACAAAGUUAUGAGUGACGAAAGUUGGAGAUAAAUGUUAAUUUAGGAAUUUCUCUAAAUGAAAACUUACUAUUUUUAUUUGGAAGAGGGACCAAUCAGAUUGGGGAAAAGCCCAUUUAAUGGGAGGAUGGACUAAUCAGAAAUGGGAGGAAGGUUGACCAAUCAGAAAAGAUAGAACCAACAGAGCCGAAUCCUCCCUCAACCCGCAGGACCCGGUUUCUGGCGACUUUUGCUUCCUUUUUUUUGUCAAUUUUUCGACGAGUUGGAGACAUCCAUCACCACCACAUGACUCAUCAACCUCCCCUCUUCAAUUCUCACCUAAACUCAACUCAGUUUUACUCUAAUUUCAUGAUGAACUCCUUCGGCGAGUUCAUGAGUCCUGCAUUGGUGAUCUGCCAUUUUUUAAAGUUAUUUUUUUUACCACCACCACCCACAAACACCCUUUAAGCCCAGGAACAUGACCCAAACAAGUUUGGGGUGAACAGAGCAACGAAGAGGAUGAAUCAAAGUGCACCAUUUUUAGGGUUUUCCGAUGGAUCGUGGUAUUAUCAGGCCUUAGACCUCGACCCAUGUAUAAAACUUACUCCCUUCUUCAAGAUCUUUAUUUUGGUAUAAUUUGAGAAAUUUUGGAGUUAGGUGAAUUUUCGAACAAAUCGGGGCGGUCAACCACCUCGUGCGGCAGCGCGUGCUGGUGGCGCAUAGCUCGAGGACCCAUUUGGUCCUUCUUGAGUACAUUUGAUGCCCAAUUCCAUAUUUGAUAUCUGAUUGAAAAAAAUUUGUCGCUUGAACAUAUUUUCGUUAGGGUCCGCCACUUGAAUAUUGUAACUUUGAGAUGUGGAGGCAAUUGAAGAUUAGAGUUUGAUUAUCAAGGAAAUGGAAACAGGCUUCAAGCUUGGUUUGAGAUGUGGAGGCAACUGCUGAUACAUAUAUGUUUGGAUGCUAUGUUUAGAAUUAUUUAAUUUUGCAUUGACAUGGUUAAAAUUCUAGAAGAAAAAAAAUGAGAAAUUUCCUUGUUAUGAUGUUCAAGAUAUGAACUGUGAUAGCCACAACUAUUAUGUCAUAUUUUAGAAGGAAUACUUUUUGCCUUUAGCAACAUUUUUAUUUUGUUGAAAAGAAGGAAGAAAGAUGCUAUUUGUGGCAUUUGUUAUGCUAUUUGUUUCAUAGGAAAUCUGGAAAAAUCUACCAAAAAUCCCUCCAAUUUUUUUUCGUCAGCAAAAUCAAUUCCAAAAGAAAGAUUAAUGAGGCUUUCAAAAAAAUUUUAAAAAAAUUAAAAUGCUCAAAGUCCAAGAAUUCUCACCAAUUUAUUUUAGUCAUUAAAAUUAUACUUAAUGAGGUUUCCAAAAUUCUAGGCACAUUAAAAACAAUAUAAGGGCAAAUUUGGAAAUCAAAUUAAAAUAAUUAAAAUAGAUAAAUCAGAAAUAUAGGAGUGUGGAUUGAGAUUUUGAGGGUGUCAAUAACAGCUACCUAUGCAAUUUUGUUGGUUAUUAUGUACUAAAAUAUAUAAAUACAAAUAUAUAUAGGGAACUGUUAUUAUCACUCCAAAAAUUUUAUUCUACACUCCUCAUAAGUGUAUUUUUUUUUUUAAUUAUAGAAAGUUUGGAGUGUCAAAUGAGAUUUUUUGAGUGUCUAUAUAUAUAUUGUUGAUGCACAAAACCGGAGGUCUUGGAACAACGUAAAUCCGACCGUGAAUCUGCAUAAAAUGUAAAUAACACAAGAUGUAUCGUGGUUCACCCCAAGGUUUGGGCUACGUCCACAUUGAUAGUUGAUUCUGUUUCUCUGUAAUUGUAUGGAUACAAGUGUUUGGGGGAAGUCCCCCGGAGGAGAAAGAAGAGAAGGGAGAGGAGAGCCUCGGUGGUGUGAGGUCUCUCCUGAAUGUAAUGAUAGCUUCUCUUAGCCUUCUUAGGCUUGGCUCUUUUGCCUCCUUUAGAAUGAGGGUAGGAGUCCCCUUUUAUAGAAUAAGGGGCUCCUCCUCUUUUACAAAGUAUGGGCUUUAGUGUGAGGCCCAAAUACAAGGCCCAAGGCCCAAAUAUACGAGGCCCUAAAUAUGGUAUAAACAUAUAUAUAUUUGUUAAAUAGUUUUUUUUUUAUUUUUUUUAUUUUUGGAAAAUAAUUUAUAACGGGCAUUAGCUGUGGUCAAUUAGUAAUCGACAAUGGUCAUAGCAUGUGGUGUUAAACCCCAAUCCACCAAGGGUACAAUCCAUGGUUAUAUUGCAAUUGACAACGGGUAUAGCCUGUCGUAGAAACUGAGACUUUUUAUUACAUCUAGAAUACUAAUGAACACAGUAUCCGUGGUGGAUUGUAAUUUAUCACGGGUAGGUGUAGUAUUGGUACAAUUACCAUACCAAAACCCAUGUACCAACCUUAUGAUAUGACAAAAUCUAUUACCAUUACCGUGCCAAACUUUCGGUAUACCGAAUUUCGGCAUGCCAAAUAGUUUGAUCGGCAUGGUAUGGUGAUGAUAAUUACCACUUUGUUUUGGGCCAAAAUUUGAUUUUCUUUUUCUUUUUCUUUUUCCACCCAAUUCAAGGCCCAAACGUGUUUUGGCCACUUUUUUUGGCUUUCUAAAACUUUUUAAUUUAAUUAUGAGAAUUUUAUAGAGAUUCAUUUAAGAAACAAGAAGUAAAUAAAUAGAAGAAUUGCUGAAAGAACCCAACAUCCCAGAAAAAAAAUACCUCAAAGAUUCUUAAAUUCCAUUUCUACAUUAUUUAAAAUUGUACAAAAAUUAACUUGAUAGACGAAGCUAGGGAGAAAGACAUCUCAAUUUGAUGAAGGAGAAGAUGAGAUGGAUUGCGAAGAGAGAGAAUCUUCGGAACGGGAGCAACAUAGAUGAAGCUGAUGGCUAGAUGAGAGAAAAAAUGAAGAGUCGCAGAAUAAGAAGGCUUAUGUUUUUUAUUGGGAAAGUAGAGGCUAAACGGUGAGAUGAUUUGAUAAAUGACUAGGAAAAAAAUAUAUAAAAUGCAUACAUAAUGAUAAUAAUACAUAAUUAUAUAUAAAAAUGAAUAAAUAAACGGUAUAAUAUUAAUAGUGGUGGUACGGUAGGGUAUACCAUUGGUAAUAGUUUUAAGUAUCAAUAUUGUACCGAAAAUGUAUGGUACGGUAUAAAUACCGUACCAUUACCAAUGGUACAAAUUUUUUGGCACAACUUCUGUAUGGUAGGGUUGGUAAUUCGGUUAGUAUGGUAAUUUGGCAAAAAAUUUCAUCCCUCACAGGCAUUCAUCUAGAUAGAUGAACUUUUUUUUCCUAAUGUGUACCACUUAUGUUAUGAGCAUAAAGAAAAAUUUCUCUGAACAAGGAGCAAGUGGGAAUAAUAAAUCUGAACUAUAGCACGUACACGUAGAUAACAAGACGAGGAAAAGCAUCGAGGCAACGUUCUCCGAGAAGCUUUCAGGAACAAGAUCCGUUGACGACGAAGUAGACUUUCCUGUGCAUAGUCGACUUGGUGGGAAGUUUCCUCGUGGGGCCAUUUGAUUGGUGGGACAAAGACGUCCGUAAUUAUAAUUAUAAUGAUAGGAUUGAUUCCUCUACUCUAGAUUGAAUUGGAGCUGAAUGAUUGAAUUUGUAAGGCCCUGAUUGGGGGGAUUCCUCAUUGGUCAUCAUGGCUUUGAUUGAUUAAAUGGACAUAUAGCUAGCUUGAAUUGGAACUGAAUGAUUGCACUUAAACGGUCCUGAUUGGGCGGACUCCUCUUUGGUCAUCAUGGCUCUGAUUGAUAUCAGUAUAAAGAAAGACAUUGACCAUUCUGGUUUCCAACUCUCUCCAUCUACUGUUUUUGAGCAGAUCGGCUAAAGCUUGAAGAUGAACAAGUUGAUAAAGUUUGUUUAUUUUGUGUUUUUGAUUGAGUGUUUGAAUCGGUUUCUUUUUGGUAGGAUAGUAGAGAAAUUGAAAAAGAUAACUUGGAGAUUGGUUUCUGCUAUGCAAAUAAUGCAGCAGCCUUGAUUGAAUAAGAAGAGUGAUUUUUACACAAGAGUAUGGUGCAUUUCCAUCACCCAUACUUUCUACAAAAGGUGAUUGACAAGAGGCCUUAACAACCAUUAAGCCUUACUACUCCAGAUUACAUCUUAACCCUUCAUUUUGGGGUUAAAUGAUUUAAUCUGGAGUGUACAUUUGUCACUCACACACUUACACAAACAUUUAAAAACAAAACUAGCCGUUGGAGACUAGAACCCUUCAUUUUCUUUCUUCUUCUUCGAUGCAGAUGACAUCCUUUUGCUCGGGAGUAUCUUGCUGCCUUCGACUCCCCGACUCCAGGAGCUGGUUAGCUUCCAACACUCCCUUCUAAACUGCUUCUGGGAGUCAAUCCGAGCAAACCCCUCAGGUAAUUGAAUCUCUCCUUCGGUAGUGCUUUUGUGAAUAUGUCUGCGAUCUGAUCUUCUGUGCUGCAAUAGAUUAGCUUGAUUGUGUUGUCUUGCAAUGCUUCUCUGAUGAAAUGAUAUCUUCUCUUGAUGUGUUUUGUUCUCUGAUGAAAUACUGGGUUUUUAGUCAUGGCAAUUGCAGAGGUGUUGUCACACAGAAGUGGUGUGGCUUCAACUUGCAAUUCGCCAAAAUCUUUAAGUAUGAACCUUAGCCAAAUGGCUUGAGAUGUAGCUUCUGAUGCACUUACAUACUCUGCCUCGGCUGUGGACAGUGCAACACUUUGUUGCUUCACAGAGGCCCAUGAAAAAACCCCUGAUCCGAAAGUGAAAGCAUAGCCCGAUGUGCUUCUACUAUCAUCCUCACUGCCACCCCAGUCACUGUCACAGAAUCCAAUUAGAAUAGAUGACUUUCCCAUCUCAUAUUUGAUCCCAUAAUCAAGAGUUCCUUGCACAUAUCUUAGCACUCUCUUAGCCGUGCCCAUAUGUAUCUUGCUAGGAUUCUGCAUAAACCUAGAAAGUAGGCUUGCUGAGAACAUCAGAUCCGGCCUUGUUGCUGUUAGAUACAAUAGACUGCCAACAAUGCUUUUAUAGAGACUAGCAUCUGCAGGUUCACUUCCAUCCUCCUUCUUGAGCUUCUCAUUUGCAAUUAAGGGUGUAGAAAACUGGUUUGCAACCUUUCAAACCAAACUUUUCAAGCAAAGUUUCAGCAUACUUCUUUUGAUGAAUAAAAAUGCUACUUGCUUUUUGAAUUACCCCAAUGCCAAGAAAAUGAUGCAAGAGGCCUAGGUCAGUCAUCUCGUACCUCUUCAUCAUUUCUUCCUUGAACUCUUCCAUCAUUGCAGCAUCAUUUCCAGUGUAGACAACAUCAUCCACAUAGAUUGAGACAAUGAGUGUCUUGUUGUUGCUUUCUGUCUUGGUGUAGAGUGUAGCUUCACUAGGACUUUUCUGAAAUCCUUUCUCAAUGAAAUAUGAAUCAAUCUCACUGUACCAAGCUCUUGGAGCUUGUUUUAGGCCAUAAAGAGCCUUCCUCAACUUGUACACUUUUUCUGGAAACUCUUGAUUUGUGAACCCUUGAGGUUGUUCCACAAACACUUCCUCCUCUAGCACUCCAUUUAGAAAUGCAGAUUUAACAUCCAAUUGAUGCAACUUCCAACCCUUCUUGGCUGCUAGUGCUAUCAAGGUCCUUAUGGUGUCUAACCUUGCUACUGGAGCAAAGGUUUCAUUGAAGUCUACACCAGGUUUCUGUGAGUAACCUUUGGCCACUAACCUGGCCUUGUUCUUUUGCACAGAACCAUCUAGAUUUAGCUUCACUUUGUACACCCAUUUUACACCAAUCACAGGCUUCUCACUUGGUCGAUUUACAAGUUCCCAAGUGUCAUUCUUUUCUAUCAUUUCAAGCUCUUCCUUCAUUGCUUUCUUCCAAGCUUUGUCUUUCUCAGCUUCUUCAUACGUUUCUGGUUCUACUACACAGUAAUUACAUGUAGCAUAAAUCUCAUCCAGAUUUCUCAAUCUUACUGGAGUUGAACUAGGAGUUGUUGUCUGUGAUUGACUUGAUUGUGGACUCAUAGUAGCUUGCUGUGGAGUCCCUUGUAUGUCACCAUUAUCUGUGACUUCUUCUUGAACUGAGGUCUCUAUAGGCUCCCUUGUUUGCCUUUUGUUUAGGUCAAUUUGUAGAGAGACACUGUCCUUUUCCUCUACCAUUGUAUCCCAGUUCCACAUUGAGUCUUCAUCAAAGAUAAUAUCCCUUGAUAGGAUUAUCUUUUGAGUCAAUACAUUAUAAACUCUGUAUCCUUUCUCACUGGUACCAUAGCCUACAAAAACACCCUUGUUACUUGAUUUCUCCAACUUGUGCCUUAGUUGAUGAGGGAUGAGAUUGUAGCAUACUGAGCCAAACACUCUCAGAUGCUUCACAGAAGGCUUCCUUCCACUGAACACUUCAAAUGGAGUCUUCUUCUCCAAUGCCUUAGUAGGACACCUAUUCAAUAGAUACACUGAGGUGUGUUCACAGCUUCACCCCAAAAUUUAUAAGGCAUGUUCUUCUCAUGCAUCAUAGACUUAGCCAUUUCGACUAUAGUCCUAUUCUUCCUUUCUGCAAUCCCAUUCUGUUGUGGUGUAUAUGCCACAGUGAGUUGCUUCUCUAACCCUACAUCUUCACAAAAUACAUUGAACUCAUGUGAGGUGUACUCACCACCCCUAUCACUUCUUAGUCUUUUGAUUUGGUAUCCACUUUGCAAUUCCACCAUUGCCUUAAACUUCUUGAAUAUUGUGAAUACCUCAGACUUGAACCUCAUGAAAUACACACCACACAUCCGUGAAUAAUCAUCAUCAUGAAGGUUAGGAAAUACCUGUUUCCACUGAUUGUUGUUGUUCUCAUUGGUCCACACACAUCUGAGUGAAUCAAUUCGAGUGGCUUUGUUGCCCUCCAAGCCUUUCCAGCUUCAAAUGAAUCUCUGUGAUGCUUGCCAAACACACACCCUUCACAGAUUUCAUUGCAUUGAUCCAUUUUUUGGUAUACCUUGCACCAUUUCAUCCUUUUGCAGAUUUUGUAAGCUUGUCAUGUUUAAAUGACCAAGUCUCUUGUGCCAUAGUUUCAUAGAACUUGUCACACUUGCUUUCUUUGCCACUUCUUCUAAGUACUUCAGUACAAGUGGAAAGCUUCUGUUUUUCACUUCCACUUUGGUCACCAAGUUUGAUAGGGAUCUGUCAUCAUAGAUCUCAACCACAGUCCCCCCAAAGAGUAGGAAAUAGCCAUGCUCCAUCAUUUGACCCACACUAAGUAGAUUCUCAUCCAAUCCAGGCACUAGCAUCACCUCCCUUAUACAUCUUCUUCCUUUCUUGGUGUUGAUAACCAGAGUUCCUCUUCCAGUGGCUUUGACAAUGUUUCCAUCACCCAUUUUCACUUUUCCAGUGAAGUUUGUGUCGAUGUCAAUAAGUAAAGACUCAUGUGCAGUCAUGUGGUUGCUGCAGCCACUGUCAAUGUACCACACUUCAUUGUUUCUCUCCAUUUUUGCAUUGAAAGCACAGAACACAUUUGCUUCUUCUUCCACUUGAUUUGCACAGUUUACUUGUUGCACAUUCUUUGAUCUGCAGUCCUUCAUAAUGUGCCCAAACCUGUUGCAUUUGUGGCAUCUAGGCUUGUCCUUGAACCAACACUCUCCAAGGUGGAAUUUAUCACAGUGCUUACAUUGCUGCUUGGUUCUUGGACCUACAUUGGUGUUGCUGCCUUGGUUAGGUCUUGAGUUGUGAUACCCUUUUCCUUCCCAUUUCUUGCUUUUGCCCUUCCACUGUGGUUUCUGAUUGCUUGCACUGGCUUGACUGCUAGAUCCAACAUUGAGUGUUUGAAAGGCUUUCUCAGGUGCAGAGUCAGCAUGCCUCUCGAGCCUUUGAUCAAAAGCUCUUAAGGAUGCCAUCACCUCUUGUACACUGAGUGUUUCAGUGUCUUUGGUUUCUUCUAUAACACUCACUAUUGAAUCAUAGGGUUUAGUCAAACUAAUCAACAGUUUUUGGACAAUUCUUUCAUUAGGCAGUUCCUCACCAUAUGUUUUCAUCUUGUUUACAACAUCAUCAAACAGCCUAGUGAAGUAGUCUUUUAACAGCUCAUUUUUCCCUCAUUCUUGUAUACUCAAAAUCUCUUCUAAGGGACUGAAGUUUUACCUUUCUAACUUUGGUGUCUCCUCUGUAUUCUUGCUGUAAAACUUCCCAAGCUCCCUUUGCAGUCUCUUCAUUUGCUAUCCUCGGAAAAAUGGUGUUGUCUGAGACAGCACCUUGAAUGAUUCCAAGUGCUCUAGCAUCCUCCAUCCGAUUCUGCUUCAGUGUUUUGAGUUGUGUUUCUGUGAGAUCCUCCUCUAGAGCAUCGAUCUCCAUCUCAGGUAGUUCAUACCCAUGUUGAACCAUAUAUCCCAUAGAUCAUAGGAUUUGAAAAUGGUUGUCAUUCUUAUUCUCCAAAAAUCAUAAUUCUCCCCAUCAAAGACUGGAGCUUUUAGCUCACUGCUACUGCUGGAUCCUUUCAUUUCCAGAAUUGUUUGUUGAUUAUUGUUAUAGAAGACACUACGUUGGUGCUCCCAAAGAUCUUAUCUUGCACAGAUUACGCCCCGAAAGUUGUAAGAUCAAUAACAAAGCUCUGAGGCCAUGAUAAAGUUUGUUUAUUUUGUGUUUUUGAUUGAGUGUUUGAAUCGGUUUCUUUUUGGUAGGAUAGUAGAGAAAUUGAAAAAGAUAACUUGGAGAUUGGUUUCUGCUAUGCAAAUAAUGCAGCAGCCUUGAUUGAAUAAGAAGAGUGAUUUUACACAAGAGUAUGGUGCAUUUCCAUCACCCAUACUUUCUACAAAAGGUGAUUGACAAGAGGCCUUAACAACCAUUAAGCCUUACUACUCCAGAUUACAUCUUAACCCUUCAUUUUGGGGUUAAAUGAUUUAAUCUGGAGUGUACAUUUGUCACUCACACACUUACACAAACAUUUAAAAACAAAACUAGCCGUUGGAGACUAGAACCCUUCAUUUUCUUUCUUCUUCUUCGAUGCAGAUGACAUCCUUUUGCUCGGGAGUAUCUUGCUGCCUUCGACUCCCCGACUCCAGGAGCUGGUUAGCUUCCAACACAAGUAAGUCAACUUCAAACUCCUCGUAUCCUUAUUUUUCUUUGAAUCCUUUGUCGUUGAUUGAUCUUAUACUGUCUUGAUUAAGCAGACAUUGUUCUGAAAUGGCUGAAGGGUGUUUUUCAACAAGUAAAAGCUCUUACGGUUAAAUCUGGCAAAAGAAACUUACAAAACGCUUUUAGAUAGUGUAAGCUCUUUUCGGAGAAGCACUUGCUAUGGCUAGACUUUUACCAAACACAAUUUUAGCUCCAACUUUUCUAAAAACUGUUUUUAAAAAUAAAAUUGAGCAACCUCAGACCCGCCCAUGUCAACAUUCAAGUUUUCAAGUGCUUUUUCAAAGAGCACUUGAGUAUUUAAUAAACAUGUCUAAUCUGUUCAUAGUAAAAGAGAACUGCUUAUGAGUAGAGUGUUUCUUACGAGUACAAUGGCUUUAUAAUCGUCCUUAUAAUUUACCCAUGUGGAAUUUCAUUCUUACUAGUGUUUUGCUAAAGUGACUUCACUAGAAAUACGGCGAAAGUUCUUUAGAAAACACUUCUCCUACUCGUAUACAUUUUUAAGUUUUUCUUUCAAUAUAAUGAAAAACAUUUUUUAUCGUUAGAUUGACAUUGUUAGCUAUUUCAAAAGCAGUUUCAAACGUGUUUAUUAUUAUAUGGUUGGGUGUUAUUUGCUUACAUACUCCAUUUAACUUUGUUUCAAUAUUUUGUUGGUGAUGACAGUAUUAGCAGUGCUGGGCUUGAACUAGAAAAUGUGCUGGUGACUUCUCCUCCCCUGCACCAGUCAUGGGACGCUGUUCAGAAGCAAAAGCUCAACACAGCUCCUGAUCCGAAUGCACAAACGGCCUUAUAUGUUACUGAAACCAAGCACUCAAACACCACCAUCAUAUCUUUUCUUACUUCACCCGUCACACUUCAAGAUCAACAAGCGAUGAUUUCGUCGUUGACUCUCAGGGACAAAAAAUUUCCCCUCUUUGAGUUUUUGUGCACCAAAUACAACACAAGUUUCACCGUCAAUGAUUUGGCAAUCAAAUUCUUCGCCUUGAAUUACGACAACCUCAACCUCGAUCUUCUGAGAACAAAGGUGCAUAUUGUUGUCUCUCUGAUAACUGAUAGUGUUUAACCGCUUAGACUAUUAAUGUUAGUGAGAAACAUUUAAAAAUCAUGUUUAUAAUGUUAGAUUAUGUUAGCGUGAUACACAUACAAACCCCUCAUUAAUACUGUUAUAAGGGUGCAUUUGUUAUCUCGGACUUGACUAGCUUGCUUGGUUUGGACUAUGCAGGAUAAGAAUAGUGGGCUCAAACAAUUAAUUUCAAUUUUCUUUUAAUUUUUUUACUUCUCCCUCCACCUGUUACACACCUCACUCAAUAAAAUGUCCUACGAACACCAGAACUUCACAAUGCACUACGUGCAACGAACAUAAUUAUAUUUUCCACUUUGUAAUUGUGCAGAGACUUUCAUAAUUUUCUUUCAAAUUAACACUACCAAUCUUUAUUAGAACCAAAAAAUGGAAAAACUUAUCGAUUUGCACAAUUUACUAGAUUUUAAAAUUGCCAGAUACUUUUUAUGAAGGGAAAAAAAAUGAUGCGUGAACAACACUUCUCACAAAAAAAAAUAAUGAAAUAUAUAAAUACAUACCAAAGUAAAUGUUUGCACACACUAACAUGCAAUAUAUGCAGUUUUUCAUUUUGUCAAACAAAUACAACAUAGCACAUUAAAGACAUUUUGUAAAUCCUAUGGGCUAGUUAAUAUGGGCAACAACCUUGUGUUUGGUUGUCAAGGACUUAGCAGGAUCUUCGAAAUUGUUCCAUAACACUGAUCCGAAAUUGCAUUCUUUAAUCCCUGCUUGCAAAUGCAAAAGUGGUUAUCAAUCUCUCCCUACUACUGUAAAAGGGAGAUAAUGAUAGAACUAAUUCAAUGUGAUAAACUAUAAGCUUCAAUGAAAUCAAAUGACAGGAGAAAAUUAAUGCAAGUCACCACUUCUUGAGGAUGAAGAGGGAGAGCAUCGAUGAAUAUUUUAGUUCAAAUUAAGGGAUUUCUUCUAAGGAGAUUUAUAGGGUUACUUAUAUGCAAGAUGACAUUUAUGUAAACCUGUGUGGAUGACGGAGAACAUAUAGUUAAUAUAUUAUAGUUGAGAAAAGCUAUCUUUCUUCUUGUAGUUCAUUUGUAAAUUUAUAAGAAUACCUCAGGUUUAUGUAUUACCAUCACCCAGCUUUAAACCAUAUAAACCUGUGUGGAUGACUGAUUUUGUAAUGUAAAAGAUAGAAAAUCAAGAUGACGUUUAGGAGUCAAGAUAAGUGGGAAAGGAAUGCAAGAUGAGUGGAAGUCACAAAGCGGAUAGCCUUUUAUAUGGCCUCAAGGUUGAUAAAUUUACAAUGGUUAAGGAUGCAAAUCCGAUAUCUCCAUAAGUUUGAGUCAGUAGAGGCACUUGAAAAUAGAAUGAUAAGAUGGUAACUUCAUUCUGGUUAAUCGAAUGUUUUAGCUAGCAGCAAGUGGGUCAAGGCUCGAUGCCAAAGUCAUAAACUACGGUUUUAAAGCACAUAUCAGCCACCAAAACCCAGAGUACUCAUGUCAAAUAUUAACAGCCAAAACCCUGAGUACACACAAUAAACUAUAAUUCAUUAAUGGGAAUGAAACAUCUGAGAAAAUGUGAACUCAACAACCAAAACCCAGUGUACCCAUGUCAAAUAUUAACAACAAAGGAAUUUAUGUAUGUAUGUCAAGAAUCAAACAAAAAAUUAUCACCCAAAAUAAAAAUCAAUCAGGGCUGCUUUAUGUAUUAGGAAGCCCAGAACCACUAUUCUAAGUGUUAGGCAGUUGGCCAUCACCCCGAUUAAUGCCUAGACGUUUAAAAAUUAAAAAAGGGUGCCUUGACUUGUUGAGGCACCCUCCUCGACCGCCUAACCCGUCCAGACCUGCCUAGGCAUCCGCCAAGGUCACGACUCACUUAAACAGAAAAAAUAUCACUUUCAUUUUGCAUUUUAUUUUUUCAAUAAAUUGUAAGAUUUGUUGCAUACUUAAAUGAACACACAUUUUAUCCUUGUUCCCCAUGAUUUCAUUAUGUUCCAAUACUUCAUAAUAUAUAUGUCAUUCUAUUUUGUAGUUUAUGAUGAAAUUAUAUAUAUUUUAAGUAUAAAUAGGCACUUAUUUACACGAAAUAUAAUAGAUUUUACUUAAAUCCGCCUAGUCCGCCUAGGCCCCGUCUAGCCGCCUAGGUUCUUGGUCCAAACCUGCCGCCCGACUAGCGCCUAGCGUCUUUUAGAACCUUGCCCAGAACAAUAUAAAAAAACGGCUAUGGGUUAUAGAUCAGAAAAUGGUGCUUUUGCAUGCUCAAAAGAUUGUUAAAAGGCCAUAAAAUGGUGAUUUUUAUGUAACCAAAUCGGAGAAUUUUGGAUAAGAUUAAACAACAAUAAGCAGGGAACAAAGAAAAAAUUGCAAUCAACUUACAAAAACUUAGCAAUUAGUUCACAGAAGGAAAAGUAGCAGAUAAAUUGGGUAGCAAUCAAUUAAAAAACACACCCAAUCACAGAACACAAAUGUACACGCACCCAAUUUUUGUGCUAGAAAUUCAAAAAAUUUAGAGAUUUCGCACGCAAACAACGAAAUCGAUCAAAACCCAAUAAUAAUUACGAUCUGCAAAACAAAAUUGAAGAAAUUGAUUGUUAGAUUCAGAAUUUACCAGACAGGACAAGGAUGAAGGAGCGGGACGAGGAUGAGGGAGAAGAUCGAGCGUGACAAGGAUGGGCGAGCAGGACCAGGACGAGCGAGCAACUAUCUCGAAGAUGGUCUUAGCAAUCCGGUGAUAUUGGGGUUCUCGCUAAGAACUUCUAGUGAAGCGGUUUGUUGGAGCGAGUCCGACUUAAUCCCAUUAAACUUAAUGUCUAACAAACACAAUAUUACACUAACAAUUAGUCAUAUUUAGUUCAAUGAGAGCUAGUGAGCCUAAACAAACACACCUUAAGAGCUUAAUGUAGUAACAGUUGAGUCUCUUCCCCUUUUAAAGAAAAUUAAUAAAAAAUGCUUUAAAACUUUGCAUUUUAAUCAAAAAUCAUUUAGUAACUUUAUUUAAUGAGAAAGAUAAAAAAAUAAAAAAUUUAAACAUGCAUGUGCCCAGCCCGCGUCCCCCCCCCCCCCCCAAUAUAACCAAAUAAGAAAAAGUAAAUGAAAACACACUACACAUACAUAUGAUAUUAUGUAUGAAUUAGCUAAUUGUAACAACGAUGACACCUAUUUUUAGGCCUUUGACAAAAUAAGCAAACACACGUCUAGUGCUAUAAUCUCGUAAGUUUCAUAAACAAUGAAGUAUUGUUAAGUUUCAUAAACAAUGUAGUACAGUUAAGUUUCAUAAACAGUGUAGUAAGUUUCAUAAAUAAUGUGUAUGUGGACGCACGGGUCCCCCGCGUUAGUUUUUCUUUUUAAAAAAAUUAUGUCUUUUUCAUUAAAAUUUAAAGUUCUUUUGUCUUUUUUAUUAAAAUUUAAGAGUUUUUCAUUAAUAUUUAAGUAUUUUUCAUUAAAUAAAGUUAUAGCAUGAUUUUUUGUUGAAAUAAAUUUAGUCAAAUGCCUUUUCAUGAAAGUUCCCUUUCUUUAUUGUUUCAAAACCGAGUUUUAAGUAUUUUUUUCUAAUAUGAAUGAAGUUCUGAGGACCUUAUUCGUAGAGACGUCUCCGAACUGAUUAAAUAGCAGUUCAGUAAUUGACUAACUUUUAUGUAAUAUUUCAGCUGGUAGAAAGCAGCAAAUCCAACUCAUUGGUACUUGUCACUGGACAAUCUUUUGGAGGCGCUGUAGCUACCCUUUUCACCUUAUGGCUGCUAGAAAGCCUCGACUUAUCGAAAGUGAAACGUCCCCUUUGCAUCGCUUUUGGUUCACCCUUGAUCGGUGACAAACAAUUCGGACAAUGUGUGUUGCAAUUCCCAUUGUGGAGUUCUUGCUUCUUGAAUGUAGCCUCCAUCGAUGAUCCUGUACUUCAAUUCUUCCUAACCGCUUCGCAAGCGAGUGGUUAUAAGCCUUUCGGAACAUUCCUACUGUGCUCCUCUUCGGGUGGUUCUUGCUUUGAGGACCCUGAUGCCAUUUUGCAACUAUUGGUGGAAACCAGCUCUCGGUGUGCCCAAAAUCCAGGUCUGAAUUCAGGGAUUCAGUUGUUCGAUUACGGAAAGAUUUUGAAUGAUCUCAAGACUAAGGCAUUGUCUAGAGAUGUCUUUGAGUUGGUUGAAGAGGAUAGAGUUCCACUUAAAGCUGGAAUUAAAACACAGUUGGCAGCAAUAUUAGGAGUUCUCAGCUCACAGGUAUCAAACUUUCAACAGAAAUAUCUGAUUUGAUGAUGAUUUUGGGAAAUGGGUUCCGCACAAACCUGUUUAUUUCCAUCUCUUGAUUCUCCUUUGAUUUAUUUAAUCCAAAGACUAGAAAUAAACACAGGUGUGCAGGGGGGGAAUAUGAGAUUGCGGAAAUCACAUCCCAUGUUUACUUCUAGCUACUAACUUUUCUCUCAACUCCUUUUGUAAAAGUCAUUGCAGCAGCAACAACCCAACAUAGAAUUCGAAAGUCUGAUGAAAAAGAUGGUCACUCACGAACGUAAACUAGCGAUGCAGAAGAUGAAGGUUUACAGUUCCUCCUUGAAACUGAAUGAGAUUGAAAAGUACAUGGCCUACAUGGAAUGGUACAAGGAGGAGUCCAAAGACAUGGGAAUUGGAUACUAUGACAGGUACAAAAACUUGCGCUAUGCGAGUGACCUGAAUGCCAAAGAGUACAAGAAGAGGCUCUCGAAUUACUGGGAGGACACGGUUGCAGAAGCUGAGAGCAAGCCCCAGAAAGAAGGAGCCGCAAUGCCUGCCCCUUUUCUUUUUGCUGGUACGAAUUACAGAAAGAUGAUCGAACCGCUUUGCAUUGCAGAGUACUACAAGAAAGGUGGAAAAGAUUACAUAGAGGAAAGGCCUCGACAUUUUGUUCUUUUGGAGCAAUGGUACAAUGAAGAGGAGGAAAAUAAGAGGGGAGAGUGGGAAGAAAGGGAGAACCCACAACUGCGCGGCGCAAGCAAGCCCAAUUCAAAAGCAAAGAAUGUACCUCCUAAUCUGAAUGAUGAUUCUUGUUUUUGGGCGCACGUCGAGGAAGCGCUUAUCUGGUGCAACGAACAAGUGAGUAAUCCCGAUGCUAAGCCAAUGACCGAAUUUGAGCUUUACGUUCUGAAUAUGCUCGAUAAUUUCGCAGUUAGGGAUGAUAUUUUCUUGAAGAAUAGCAGCUUCAUGCAUUGGUGGAACAAGUAUAAAGUAAUUGUGCGAAGUAACUACUCCUCAGCAUUCACCGAGGUCAUGAAGCGUAAGACUUAUCGCAAAUAUGCGGAUG
rnacentral:lncRNA from 1 species